GCGCAGUCACCAUCACAACGUUUGUUUUCUGUCAUAUCAGGGUCCCAGUUCCCACAGCCCGUAGAAGAGGGGAGGCCAGAAAAAGAGCGCAAGCUACCGCGUGCACCGAGGGCGCUCGCGGCCACCGAACUUGGCUGCCCCAGCCAAGCGGGCUCGUGGCCGGUGGAGAAGCGCCCGCAGCGCGCGCAGCACCUGCCGUCCUUCCCCGCCGCGGUGGGGCCGGGAGCGGCCAUUUCCUCGGGGCGUUCCAGAGCGCCCCCUUCCCAGCACCCGCUUCGUGGGGACUCGCUAGUGAGCUUCCCCUACACCUCCUCUACCCUCGUCCCCUCUCCCAGGGUCUUAUCCUCGUCCUGGGCUGGAGGGGAUCAGAGAGCUGGGGUGGCCAGAGGAAACCUGGCAGCCCGCCCGGCCCGGGCGCCUGCUCCUCCUCCGGUGGCACCGCCGGCCCCCACCCGCGCCAGACUCCGCCGCGUCUCUUCCGCAGCGUCCCCACCCUGUCGGCACCCUGCUCCAAAGCCUGCACCUGCCUCGGGGCGGGGGCACCGCGGGAGGCCAAGAGGAAGACGGGGAGGGCUUGGGAGCUCGGCGCAGCGGGUGAGCAGCCUAGUCCCGCGCCGCCGGCCCCAGCUGCCCCGGCGCCGCCCGCGCCCCGGCUGCGGCACCCAUGCGCUGUCCGCGGUGCUGACGCGGACGCCCGCCCGCCGGGCCGGGAGGGGGAGCAAACGCCCCAGCUCCCCCAGAGGCACCCUCUGCGUCCUGGCGCUGCGCUGGGAUGCAGGGCAACGGAGUGAGCGGAGGGAACUUCAACUUCGGACUGAAGCCCGAGAAUCCCGUGUCGGGGAUUCGCUAGGUGCGACCCCAGCCCUGAGACCGCAGAACGCCCUCAAGUUACACAAAGUUUCCCGGCGGCUUGAGACAAGGGAGGGAUCCCGGAGCCGAGGGGCAGGGAGGAUGAGAGAGCUCGCUGGCGAGGUGGCAGCCAGCACCGCAGUCGGACACCUUCCCGGGCGGCCCGCAUUCGCGCCUCCCCAGCGGCCCCGAGGCGUCGCCGCAGCCCGACUCUCCACCCUCCCUCCCUCCCCAGCUCACCCCUCCCCGACACCCCGCCCCGGGCGCCAGUGA
rnacentral:lncRNA from 1 species